rnacentral:rRNA from 1 species
GAUGAACGCUGGCGGCGUGCCUAAUAACGUCGACGUGCGGGGGAAGAUCCUUCGGGAUCGGAUCCAGCGGCGUAACAGGGUUGAGUAACACGUGGGCAACCUGCCCGCAAGACGGGGAUAACUCCGGGAAACCGGUGCUAAUACCCGAUAAUCCCGGCUCCCGCAUGGGAGCGGGGUGAAAGGCGGCUUCGGCUGUCACUUGCGGAUGGGCCCGCGGCGCAUUAGCUGGUUGGUGAGGUAACGGCUCACCAAGGCGACGAUGCGUAGCCGACCUGAGAGGGUGAUCGGCCACACUGGGACUGAGACACGGCCCAGACUCCUACGGGAGGCAGCAGUAGGGAAUUUUCCGCAAUGGGCGCAAGCCUGACGGAGCAACGCCGCGUGAGUGAGGACGGCCUUCGGGUUGUAAAACUCUGUUCUUGAUGAAGAACCCUUCCGAGGCGAACAGCCUCGGAAGUUGACGGUACUCAAGGAGAAAGCCCCGGCUAACUACGUGCCAGCAGCCGCGGUAAUACGUAGGGGGCGAGCGUUAUCCGGAAUUAUUGGGCGUAAAGCGCGCGCAGGCGGCCGAUUAAGUCAGGUGUGAAAGGCUGCGGCUCAACCGCAGAGCGGCACCUGAAACUGGUCGGCUUGAGUGCAGGAGAGGGGAGUGGAAUUCUCGGUGUAGCGGUGGAAUGCGUAGAGAUCGGGAGGAACACCAGUGGCGAAGGCGGCUCUCUGGCCUGUAACUGACGCUGAGGCGCGAAAGCG